CCAUUGAUUAGUUCCUAGCUGAAUGCACCGUUAGGAGGUGGGGCCUCGUUGGAAGAGGUGGGCCGUUGGAGGUGUGCCUUUGAAAGAUUUAUCUCUGGCUCUGACUCUCUUCCUUGCUCUCUGCUUCUGGAAGCCAUGAGGUGAGCAGUUUUCCUCCACCAGACCCUUCCCUCCACCAUGGUGUUUCUGCGUUUGAGUCAACUAACCAUGGACUGAAACCUCUGAAACCAUGAGCCAAAAUAAACCUCUCCUCCUUUAAACUGCAGGUGUCAUGUAUUUUGUCCCAGCAGCAGAACGCUGAUCAAUACACAAAAUAAAGUCACAAAUCCUGUAGAAGACCCAGAUUUUCAUUAAAUUAUUUGUAGUGAUAAUGGCUCCUUUAUUGGCAAAGAUUUGACAACUGGAGAUCUGGCAGAAGCUGGUUAAUUAAAAAUCAAAGAAGAGAAAGAAAUGGAUGAUGGUCUCAUAGGUAGAAUUUGCUUUCUAAGACUGCUAAGGUAGUAGCUGAGUAUUUAAAGAAUGGUCGGCUUUAUAAUCUUACUUCAUGUAAAGGAUAACAGGAAAGAUGUCUGAGUUCAUAGGAGCUUUAGAAAUCUUUACUCUGGCCGUCUCACUUUGGAGAUGAGGACCCAGAAGGGACAGAAAUGCUGCACGAGCUCACACUGCCUUUGUCAAUUCUUGUGGUCAUUCCGGCCAUGGUUGUGACUGAGUCCUGUCUUCUCACACCCACCUUCCCGAUCAGGGAGUCCGGGUGGCUCCUCUUCUGCAGCAUCCUGGGAAUCUGACCACUUCUCACCUCUGCCUUCCCCAAAGCCCAUCCUCCCUCCUCCCACCGCUGGGUCAUAGCCAUGAUUUUCCAACUGGCUGUCCUCCAUCUGGGGUCAUUUACAAAGGUCCCACCCAUUCCCCCUCUGCUCGGACCUCCCCUGGCUCCUCCUGUCCCCCAGAGUAGCAUCCCAAGUCCCCACUGUGGUUAGAAGGCCGAGGUAAGUCCUGCCUGGCUCUUUGAUGUCAUCCCCGUGACCUCACUGGUGUCCAGGCUUGGGGCUCUGUGCUGUCCUGCCCUGCCCUCAGCCUGCUCCCUUUGCAGCCUCCUCCCUCAUGAACCUCACCUUCUUUGGUUUUUGUCACAGGGCCCCAAGCACCUACUUCUGAGCACCCCAUCUUGUCACUCUUUCAUACUGAACUUCUCUGCAUAAGAAAGAUGAUGUGUUUGUGUGUUCAUCUGCCUCCUUCCUGUUCUUCAGUCAUCUGCAUCUCUUUUGUUCAAACACUGACACAGUGAAGACUCCAAACUAAUGCUUGAAUCAACAAAGAAAUAAAUAACAUUAAUACAGAAGUGAACAAAUGAUAGGACCUAUAUUGAUGUUUCCUGUAAGAAUUUGUUUUAAAAAUCAGAGUGCUUUGCCAGGUGGGCCGAUCCCUGGCUGCAGUUCCCGGAACCUCCCCUAGCAGCAGCCUGCGCCGUGUGAACCCGGGCUGUUUCCAAGCCUCACUCAGUGGCCAGAGGCUCUGCUCUCAGGCCCUUGGGACCCAAGGGGUAAAGGGGCUCAUGGGAACCACAGGGGCCCAAGAUUCCAGGGAUGCUGGGCAUCUGGCUCCCCUGGAGCCUUCAGGCAGGGAAGAUGCAGCUUACAAGGACGGGAUGAUUUUACUUUUAUUCUAAGUUUAGAGUUUAGGGAAUGAUGUUCUGGUCAGUGUUUACUGAUGCCACUUCUGGGCUUCUAGCUCCUCUAUUUUUACUCCCACAUUGUGGCCGGGAAGGAAGAGAGAAAUUCCACCAAAGACUGGCAUUGGGAAAAGAGGAUGCAGUUCCUGGUCACUCAGCUUUCUUGGAACUUUGGUGCCAGUGCGUGCUGAUGUGGGGGAUAUGUACAAUGCAGGGCGUGUAUAUGAGAUAUAAAGAGACCCGGGCAGAGGAGAGAUGCACAUAUGCAGUGCUAUUUGCAGACAUUUGUUUUGAAAAUUUGGAAUACAUCGAAGGACUGAAGAUUUUUAAAUUCAUAUCAACUAGCAUUGGGGUGGGGGGCUUGAUUUGACUUGAAGGGAGUCAGCCCAGAGCGGAAGCAGUGGUUACAGCUGAAGGAGGCCAAGCCAUGCCUCAGAAAAGCUGGUCUUGUGCCCCAAGAGAGGCUGGUUGGGGUGGUCCCAGAGCAGGGUAAGACUGCAGCCCAGGGACCAGGCCGAGUCUCUCUUCUCAAGGGAGCACAGGUGUUGGGGUGUGGAAGAUGCCUCCAGCUUGAUGUUUGAUUCUGUUUGCUCCCUUUAAUUUCAGAGCCAGCAUGAUUUAACUCAUUUGGUGGCAGCUGACCGGAGACUCUGGGGCCUAGCAGGAGAUGUUCAGGGUAAAGAGAGGCUGUCCUGGCCCAGCCUCCUGCCCCUGAAGAGCAGCUUGGGAAGUCAGUGCUGAAAUUCGCCUCCUGCCCUCCGCUCUGCCCCAUAAACAUUUGCUUAUUCUAUUGUGCAGGGUGGACUUGCCGUGCCACGGAAUGAAAGCAAGCCUGGCCCCCUUCUCACUGAUUGAAAGACGGAGCCACUGACAGCCAUCUCCAGCAGCUUCCUUGCUGGCGGGGGUUCCUCCAUUAACAGCAAUGAAAAUAAUUUGGGAGAACAUAAGCCCAUCGAAUGCUGUUGCUGUCCUAUGCAUUGCACCAAAUGAGGAGAAGCCCGGUGAGCUCCAUCGUUUGUCACACGGAAGCAUAACACAGUAGCGGGGUUGCCGGCAUCUGGAGUUGGUGGCAGUAGACGGUGUGGCAGCAACCAGGGCACUGAGACCUGGGACCAGGGCGCACAUUUCACGGGUCUCUGUGCAGGUGAUUUGGCUGGGUUUUCCUUUAGCUUGAGGGCUUCGGGAGGGAGCAGCUGCGUGCAUCUUCUCCACAGGGAACCCCGGGGACCUGUGCUUGGCACAGGUAACCUGCCUAAGGCUGACUGAGGAGGACCUAACUCCGGCCCUGUGACCUCCUGGGGUGGCAGCAGCUCGGAGGCGGCUCCUCCCUAAUUCACAGGGAAGUGCUGCAGGCCGAGGUUGCUUCCGGACUGCGGACUGCGCUUGAGAGGCUGGACGUGGAACAGUGUCCUCUCUGUCCUCCUGAGUGUUAGAAAUCCUUCGAGGCCCUAGUUUGAUUUAUCUGACAGCUGCACUCUGUCUUCACAUGGACUGUCAGGAGGCUUAGAAUUGGGUCGGAGCCACAAGUUUCCUGGCCUCUUUGAGUAUGGUUGUGACACCUUGCGAACUGAUGAAUUUGAGGACACAGCGCUGCCUCGACUGAGUCCGCCUACUUUGGGGGUUUUAGAAGUUCAGAUUCAUUCCACAAAUUUGACUGAAGAUGCUGCUGUGUGCCAGGCACAUGGCCAGGGUGACAGGCGGGGCUCCCAUGCUGAUUAGGGAGCAGGCACAGGCAUCUCUAGGUGAACAACUAAGCAAGGUGACUGCAGCUGGGACAAGUGCCAGACAAGAAGGAAGCACGAUGCUGGCCUGGAGUUGGGGUGUGUUGGGGGAGGGGGUUCUUCAGGCAGAGAGAGCAGGGAAGUCAGCGAACAGAGUUAAUUCACACGGUGCAAAUUAAGCCUUCAUCUUGGUGCCUGACACACAGUAAAGCCCUAACUCGCUAUCACUGCUACGGCUGUUAUUGGUGUCGUCAUCUCUCCGUUAUGUGUGCUUCUGCUGGGCGAAGGCAAGGGGAAUACAUUGCCGGAAUUCCAGGAAACGAUGAAGACUUUGCAAAGGUCCCAGCAGUGGAGGGGUGGAGAACUCCAUGCCCUAAGGUGUCUCCUCUCUUCCUUCUCUGGCGGUACCGAGGGGCUUGGUGGUCCAUCGUACGUGGGCACUCUCUGUCCAAACCAGCAUCUCCAAGCCUUAAUUUGCUGCAACGGCCCAAGAUUUAAACGUCUACAUUUUCCUGGUUGGUAUUGUAGUGCAAAUAUCGAUUCCUUUCUGUGCAAGUCCUGACUUCACGUGGGGGCAGUGACUAGUGAACGGCCCGUCCUCGCGGAGUAAAUAUGCCGUGUACAGCAGUCGUUGAACGAUUACCGUGCAGCCCAGCUGUCUUAACGCUAAGAGUGCCCGCUUUGCUUCUGGUACAGUCUGCCUGUGUGGCGGAAGAGGGGGGAAGGCUUUGUGCAGGGGCUGGGGCUUUGGGAGAAGGUGAUGGGCUCACUUCGCGUCUUCCAGGAGCCCUGUGAGGCAGGUAAGAAGAGUAUCUGAGCUCACCUGGUCGAAGACGGCGAAAGAGCAGCAGGCUUGGUCCUCCCCACAACUCCAGCCUUGGAUACCUAAGGGAAUCCACUUGUGACGCUAUUACCCAGUAAAUUAGGAGAGCGGUUCAGUCAGGUAGAUUGAUCAUGAAGAGAACUAAAGACAAUUAACACACUGCGUUGAGUGCAAAGUGCACCCGCAGCACUUAGCUCAUUUCCAAUUAGCACAAAUGUCACAGCGCCGCGGGCUGGUUAUGGGUUUACCAUGGGCUGGGUAAUUAAUUUCUGUGAGCCACGUAUCGGGCACCUGGUAAUGCCGUUUGUUAAUAAACGUCACCCCAGGUAUCGGUUUGUUAGAAGACGUAAAUAAAUGGA